rnacentral:tRNA from 1 species
GCCCUUUUAGUAUAACAAGUACAGAUGACUUCCAAUUAUCAGGAUCUAGAAAACCCUAGAAAAGAGCA